rnacentral:rRNA from 1 species
UCUUGGGUCGUAAACCUCUUUUAUCAGGGAAGAACACAAUGACGGUACCUGAUGAAUCAGCAUCGGCUAACUCUGUGCCAGCAGCCGCGGUAAUACAGAGGAUGCAAGCGUUAUCCGGAAUUAUUGGGCGUAAAGCGUCCGCAGGUGGUUUUGGUAGUCUGCUGUCAAAGCGCGAGGCUCAACUUCGUAUCGGCGGUGGAAACUCCAAGACUAGAGYUWGGUAGGGGUCACGGGAAUUCCCAGUGUAGCGGUGAAAUGCGUAGAUAUUGGGAAGAACACCAGCGGCGAARGCGCKUGACU